AACACAUGCAAGUCGAGCGGCAGCGGGUCCUUCGGGAUGCCGGCGAGCGGCGGACGGGUGAGUAAAGCCUAGGAAUCUGCCUGAUAGUGGGGGAUAACGUUCGGAAACGGACGCUAAUACCGCAUACGUCCUACGGGAGAAAGUGGGGGAUCUUCGGACCUCACGCUAACAGAUGAGCCUAGGUCGGAUUAGCUAGUUGGUGGGGUAAAGGCUCACCAAGGCGACGAUCCGUAACUGGUCUGAGAGGAUGAUCAGUCACACUGGAACUGAGACACGGUCCAGACUCCUACGGGAGGCAGCAGUGGGGAAUAUUGGACAAUGGGCGAAAGCCUGAUCCAGCCAUGCCGCGUGUGUGAAGAAGGUCUUCGGAUUGUAAAGCACUUUAAGUUGGGAGGAAGGGUACUUUCCUAAUACGAGAGUAUUUUGACGUUACCGACAGAAUAAGCACCGGCUAACUUCGUGCCAGCAGCCGCGGUAAUACGAAGGGUGCAAGCGUUAAUCGGAAUUACUGGGCGUAAAGCGCGCGUAGGUGGUUCGGUAAGAUGGAAGUGAAAGCCCCGGGCUCAACCUGGGAAUUGCUUUCAUAACUGCCGAACUAGAGUACGGUAGAGGGUGGUGGAAUUUCCUGUGUAGCGGUGAAAUGCGUAGAUAUAGGAAGGAACACCAGUGGCGAAGGCGACCACCUGGACUGAUACUGACACUGAGGUGCGAAAGCGUGGGGAGCAAACAGGAUUAGAUACCCUGGUAGUC
rnacentral:rRNA from 1 species